rnacentral:rRNA from 1 species
UAGGGAAUCUUCCACAAUGGACGCAAGUCUGAUGGAGNAACGCCGCGUGAGUGAAGAAGGUCUUCGGAUCGUAAAACUCUGUUGUUAGAGAAGAACACGAGUGAGAGUAACUGUUCAUUCGAUGACGGUAUCUAACCAGCAAGUCACGGCUAACUACGUGCCAG